rnacentral:rRNA from 1 species
UACGUAGGGUGCAAGCGUUGUCCGGAAUUAUUGGGCGUAAAGAGCUCGUAGGCGGUCUGUUGCGUCGGCUGUGAAAACCCAGGGCUCAACCCCGGGCCUGCAGCCGAUACGGGCAGACUAGAGUUCGGCAGGGGAGACUGGAAUUCCUGGUGUAGCGGUGAAAUGCGCAGAUAUCAGGAGGAACACCGGUGGCGAAGGCGGGUCUCUGGGCCGAUACUGACGCUGAGGAGCGAAAGCGUGGGGAGCGAACAGG